rnacentral:piRNA from 1 species
UCAGAAAUUCUCCUGCCUCUGCC